CGAAGAGGAGGUGAUGAAUUCAAGCCUUGACAAAUGGAUGCUCUUCCCACACCUGAAGCCGCUGCAGAGAGAAGUAGGAGAAGAGGAGGCAAACAGUGUCACACAAUGGACAUGCAUGAGCUCUGGAUCCAGGCAGACCUGAAUUUGAAUCCCACAGAUGCCCCUCACUCCUUUAAUGACUUUCUUAACCUCUCUGAGCCUCAGUUUCAUUAUCUAUGAAAUGGGUACAUUAGCACCUCUUUCAUAAGUUGCUUCAGUGAAAGCUUCCUCCUCCAAUCUUAUUGUGAAAUAAAGAGAUUGGAGGCCCCCUUUUGGAACAUGUAGACUCUGGAAGUCCUGAAGGUUUCAAACUCAGUCCCCUAAGACAAGGAUUCUGCUGCUUUAGGGGAAGAGAAAAUAGUUGUGCUUCUGGGACACCUAAUUUUAGACUUUGAGCAACUGAGCAGCUUCCUUGUCCAGUCCCUUCCUGAGGGCAUUGAAUGCAUCCAUUUUGCAGCCCCAGGCUGAAGAAAGAGUUUGUUGUGCCAACACCACUGAAGAGGCAUCUUCCUCACAAACUGGCUUUUUGUUUAAGGAGCAGCCCCAGUCCAGGGGUCUGGGGAAAGACUUUCCAAAUUGUCAGAAAUGAUGUAUCAGUGUGCAAAAUGCAAAUCUGUCCCUGGCGGGACAGGAGCCUUUAUACCCAUAAUCCUCCUCUUUCCUCUCCCUUUCUCCUCCCCUUGGAGCCUAUAGGCACAGGCAGAUGAUUUUCUAAUCACAUGCAAGAGUGGAAAGUUUUUAAUUGCUUUUUUUUGUCCUUAACAUUGUUUAUUUAUUAUAAUAAAGCUUAUUUUAUUAUGAAAGGAAUAUGUACUCACUGUAUUUCAAAAAACACAGAGAAGUAGAAAAAAAGAAGGAAGAAAUUGCUCAUCACCAUACCACCAAAAGAUAACUACUUUAAACUCCUUGGUGUAUUCUCUUGCUGUUAUUCUGAGUUGAGAUAUUUUUAUAUACUUAUAAUUCUGCACAAACAAUUUGGUGCUUGCUCUUUUCUUCACAUAUUUU
rnacentral:lncRNA from 10 species